UAGGGAAUCUUCCACAAUGGACGCAAGUCUGAUGGAGCAACGCCGCGUGAGUGAAGAAGGUCUUCGGAUCGUAAAGCUCUGUUGUUGGUGAAGAAGGAUAGAGGCAGUAACUGGUCUUUAUUUGACGGUAAUCAACCAGAAAGUCACGGCUAACUACGUGCCAGCAGCCGCGGUAAUACGUAGGUGGCAAGCGUUGUCCGGAUUUAUUGGGCGUAAAGCGAGCGCAGGCGGAAUGAUAAGUCUGAUGUGAAAGCCCACGGCUCAACCGUGGAACUGCAUCGGAAACUGUCAUUCUUGAGUGCAGAAGAGGAGAGUGGAACUCCAUGUGUAGCGGUGGAAUGCGUAGAUAUAUGGAAGAACACCAGUGGCGAAGGCGGCUCUCUGGUCUGCAACUGACGCUGAGGCUCGAAAGCAUGGGUAGCGAACAGGAUUAGAUACCCUGGUAGUCCAUGCCGUAAACGAUGAGCGCUAGGUGUUGGGGACUUUCCGGUUCUCAGUGCCGCAGCAAACGCAUUAAGCGCUCCGCCUGGGGAGUACGACCGCAAGGUUGAAAC
rnacentral:rRNA from 1 species